rnacentral:rRNA from 1 species
GACGAACGCUGGCGGCGUGCUUAACACAUGCAAGUCGAGCGGUAAGGCCCUUUCGGGGGUACACGAGCGGCGAACGGGUGAGUAACACGUGGGUGACCUGCCCUCAGCUCUGGGAUAAGCCUGGGAAACCGGUCGUAAUAACUGGAGUAUGACUCCACUGACGCAUGUUGUGGGGUGGAAAGCCUUGUGCGGCUGAGGAUGGGCCCGCGGCCUAUCAGCUUGUUGGUGGGGUGANGGCCUACCAAGGCGACGACGGGUAGCCGGCCUGAGAGGGCGACCGGCCACACUGGGACUGAGACACGGCCCAGACUCCUACGGGAGGCAGCAGUGGGGAAUCUUGCGCAAUGGGCGAAAAGCCUGACGCAGCGACGCCGCGUGAGGGAUGACGGCCUGU